rnacentral:rRNA from 1 species
AUUGAACGCUGGCGGCAGGCCUAACACAUGCAAGUCGAACGAGUGGCGGACGGGUGAGUAAUGUCUGGGACACGGCCUGAUGGAGGGGGAUAACUACUGGAAACGGUAGCUAAUACCGCAUACCAUCAGAUGUGCCCAGAUGGGAUUAGCUAGUUGGUGGGGUAAAGGCUCACCAAGGCGACGAUUCCUAGCUGGUUGGAGAGGAUGACCAGCAACACUGGAACUGAGACACGGCCCAGACUCCUACGGGAGGCAGCAGUGGGGAAUAUUGAACAAUGGGCGCAAGCCUGAUGCAGCCAUGCCGCGUGUAUGAAGAAGGCCUUCGGGUUGUAAAGUACUUUCAGCGGGGAGGCGUUACCCGCAGAAGAAGCACCGGCUAACUCCGUGCCAGCAGCCGCGGUAAUAC